AGUUUGAUCAUGGCUCAGGAUGAACGCUAGCGGCAGGCUUAACACAUGCAAGUCGAGGGGUAACAGGGAGCUUGCUCUGCUGACGACCGGCGCACGGGUGCGUAACGCGUAUACAAUCUGCCUUACACUAAGGGAUAGCCCAGAGAAAUUUGGAUUAAUACCUUAUAGUUUAUUAGAAUGGCAUCAUUUUAAUAAUAAAGAUUACGGUGUAAGAUGAGUAUGCGUCCCAUUAGUUUGUUGGUAAGGUAACGGCUUACCAAGACUACGAUGGGUAGGGGCCCUGAGAGGGGGAUCCCCCACACUGGUACUGAGACACGGACCAGACUCCUACGGGAGGCAGCAGUGAGGAAUAUUGGACAAUGGGCGAGAGCCUGAUCCAGCCAUGCCGCGUGCAGGAAGACGGUCCUAUGGAUUGUAAACUGCUUUUAUACAGGAAGAAUAAGGACUACGUGUAGUCUGGUGACGGUACUGUAAGAAUAAGGACCGGCUAACUCCGUGCC
rnacentral:rRNA from 1 species